GUCGCAUUUCACCGCUUCCGCGCACGUGUGUGACGUCAUUUUGACCGUCUGCGCAAGCAGCGAAACUCUGUUACUUCUGGGUCGCUGCGGAGCGCAACCCGAAAGCGCUCAACCUGAAGCGUAUUUAUCCCGAGGUAUGACUAUAUUGGGUGCCUAUAUAUAGCCUGGUUGCAUGGUCCAUAUAUUCAUCACAAAAAACAGCAACAAUUUGUUGUUGAUGAAGGAGAGCUGGACAUAUAAAGGGCCUCAUUACCUUCAGUAGAUUAGGGCCUCAGCAAGCCUACAUCCAGCCCUGGCAGUGUGCAUGGAGGUGCUGGGCUGCCCAGACAACAGAACCCCCCCUCUCAGCCUUUCUGAUGCGGUUCAAAGGAAAAGCAGAGCAAUACGUUUGGCACCAACUUGGCUGCAGGAGUUGCCGGAAGGAGGCAUAACAAGGCACCAUUUGACCAUCUUAGAGACCCCACUCCAGAUUUUAGGGUUUACUCCUGAGCCUUUUCUUCUUCCAAAUACAUCCUGCAAGGCAGUGGAGGUUUAGGAUCAGAGUAUUCCUUUUCCUAGAUGGAACCUUCCCAGGUUCACGAGCCCCAUCUGCCCCUCACCUCCCUCUACAUCAGGUGCAGAAACCACCAUUGGCCAUUGGAUCCAUUAUUGGUCUCCAUCUGCGGAAUCUGCCAGAGCCUGUCUUCACAUUCCCUAUCCCACCAAGGGCUUAGAGACCCUUCGGCUACCCUCGCCUGUUUUGACCUGCCAGUCAAAGCCGUUCCCAAGGUGUGGCCGCUGUCACGUACUGACAGCUUCUAGGAGCCGCGGGUGAGAGCUGAGUGCAAGGUGGGGACCAAAGGCGGACAAACUACCCCAGAAGGAGCAUGAUGUGUCCCCACACCCAGUGCAGUGGCAGAAGUAGCAGUAGUGGGGAAGUUGACUUUUGGAAUGUUUGUCCACUGUGAUGACCUCCUUAUGAAAUAACCUCUGAGAAGAGGAAAAACCAUGGUUCCUAAGAACACAAUUCAGAAUUCUUUUGCCCCUGUAGAUGCUGUGAUCCAAAGUGUAUGAAGAGAGGGGAAGGAAACAGAAACUCUUUCCCCUGCAGAAAUGCAGGUUUUACCUAACUGAGCAAUUUUCCGUGCCCUGUCUCUCACAACUGCAAUAACAUUGAUGGGGGGGUCAUGUUCUCCCAAGGGCUUUUGUUUUCGCCAUCCUCUUAACUACCUGUUCUGACUCUUUAAAACAUGGGGAUUUGGUUUUUAAAGCUCAAGGCUUUCAUUCCUCUUUGAUGUCAGGAAACAUGAUAAUGCAUGCCUUGUUUGUUUGGAUAUUCCCGCCUGGAAUCCAUGAGCAUUCCACAACUCCCUGGAAAUACUGCAAUUUGCAGACCUGCGGGCAGUCUUGGUAAAUCUGCAUAUGAAUGCAGCUGUACCUAGUUCAGAACCAUCUUUUUUUUGUGAAACCAAAAUCUGCUUUUAUAAAGAUUUUACACAUAAUAGUUGGCAGUCUGGCCUGCUGAGAACACACUUACAUUUUCUUUUAUCCACUGUUGUGCUGAAAUAUGGAACAGCAGCAUGGUGUGUGUGUGUGUAGCAUAAUUUUUCUGUAGCUGAUUUAAGAACAAAAUUAAUCUGUACAUCACUGGCCUUCUGCAGUACCGUAUUUUUCUGUCUGUAAGAUGCCCCCAUGUAUGACACCCCCUAUUUUUGGGGACUCCAAUUUAAGAAAAUUGGGGGAGAUCUAUUCGUGUAUAAGACUCCCCCAAAUUUUGGACAUUUUUUUAAAGGAAAGAAACCUAGUCUUAUACACGGAAAAAUACAGUAUGUACUCACAAUUGAACAUGGUUUUUGGCCAUGGUUCCUAAAUAAAACUGGUUCAUUGUAUCUUAUUAAUUCAUUCAUUUAUUUAAUUUAUAUACCACCUUUAUUUUUCAAGGAUCUUGUAGGUGUUUUCAUAAUACAUUAUGUUUUGUUAGCUUUCUUAAUAUAAGGCGCUUGUGGGAGAAUUUACUUUCAAUUGACAAUGAGGAUAAGAAUGCUGAUGUUCUGUGUUUCUGAGUCUCUGCAGGCGGCAGUGUGUGUCCUUAUUCUAGGCUUACUCACCCCUCCCUGACUGCUGGUCCCCCGUCUAGCAUUUAACAAUAAUUUAGUGCAAACAGCAUGCUUGGUGCAAGGCUCUUUCCCAUAGCUGUUCACGUCUACAUUGGGUAGACAAGAAUGCACAAAGUAGGUUACAUGGUAUCUUCCUUUGGACAAACUUUUGGUUGUUGUAGGAAUAUUUCAGGAGUAUUGAAGAUUCCUGUGAAACUGUCAGCCUUUCUCCGGCCUAAAGUUGGUUCAAUAGAAAAUGCAGUUUUCCUGCAGUGUAUAUAUUUUGUUCUUUGGGAAUAGAACAUAACUUAUUUUUUGUUGGCAUCUAUCUGUAUGUCUCUAGAGACAACGGAGUACACCUCCAGGGGUGAAGUCAAACUGCUGGAGAACCACAAUGCCUGCUGUGGCUGCAGAGACUGGUAACUUGUACCUGCUUCUUCCCACAUUGUUUUUGCUGUGUUAGUCACUCAGAAGCGACUUUUCCUGGGCUGCCCAGACGACAAGACCCCCCUCUCAAUGUCACUGCUGUGAUCCAAAGGAAAGCAGAGCAAUACAGAAGACGCUCAGGUUGCGAACGUGAUCCAUGCGGGAAGCACGUUCGCAACCCUCAGCGCUGCGUUUGCACAUGCACGGGUUGCGAUUCGGCUCUUAUGCACAUGCGCAACAUGCGAUUUAGCACUUCUGUGCAUGCACAAGAGCCGAAACCCAGAAGUAACCCAUUCCGGUACUUCCAGGUUCGGCGCAGUGCGCAACCCGAAGCAUCUGUAACAUGAGGUAUGACUCUGGCACCAGCUUGGCUGCAGGAGUUUCCGGAAGGAGGUGUAAAAGGCACCAUCCAACUGUUUUAGGGACACUGGAUUUGUGUAGGGUUUACUCCUCAGCCUUUUCUUCUCCCAGUGAUUUCCCUCGAGGUAGUGGGUAUGGAUUUUUCUGAGAUGCCUCGCAGAAAGCCACACCAUUGCUUCGUCUAGCUCCGCUUUCUCUACUGAGCAUGACCAGCAAGCCAACAACAAGCCAUGGGUCAGGAUUGGCUAGUGAUCAUGACUGUGCAGCAAACUAUGAUUCCUGGUUUAGAAUUAACCCGAAGCCAAGACUGAGCAUUGUUUAUCCUUCUUGCUCUGGGUAGAAGUAGAGCAACAGCAGUCUGGUUUAUCAUGGCUUGGCAUAAACAUGCAGCAUGUUCACGCACGCAUGCAAGGAAGUGCGGCUUAUCAUUAUGCAUGAAUGUGGCCAUAAGGAACCAAAUGGGAGAAGGCAGGAUUGGCAGAAGGAGGGAUGGAGGGGGAAUGCCGCUUAAUAUAGUAACCGGUGCAGAAUGGUUAACUGUGAGUUGAAGCCUGAACUCUUCUUGGAUCAAGUUGUCGUUCCCACUGUAUAUUGUUUUAUUUCACUGGAGGGGAACUAGGGCAGCGUGUACUCUGUGCUAUGAAAACAAAUUAAAGUUGCAACCCUAGGCUUACUCAGUCGGGCGCAAGCACCAUUGAAUACGUUGUGCUUUGCUUUUGAGUAAAGGCACCGUGGCUCACACUGCACACUUUCUGCGCAAAAGCCACACAGGUUCUGUGCCCAGGAAAGCAGAAUUCUGCAACUCACCUAAAAUCAGCAAGCGGAACAAUGUUAAACAUUUCCCUUCUCCUCCUUUGCAUAAUUCUAGUUUUGCUAGUAGUGGAGAAGCCCAGGGAAUUAUUCCUGGCACUGCUGUCACCAUGCAUAGAACCUGUAC